CACCUCGGGGCGGGGGCCGGGCGUAGGCGACGUCCUUCUCGGGUACGAGCGCCUCGCUCGGGGGGAAUGGGACCCGUGGAGAGGGGGGAGAAUUGGAAAAUAAAGGGAAGUGGAGGAAACGCCCACGGUUCUACUCCUCGAACAUAAAUUUCCACGUUUAUUCAUUCCCUUUCAGCUGACAUCACGAAGUACAGUGGUCUCCAGUCCUCACCGUGGCUCAGGGCCCGUAAACGCACUUUGCAAGUGGGCGGGGCACCUCACUUUGGCCAGCCAGGUACUUUGGCCCCAGCGCGCGCCCGCAAGGGCCCCACGGAAACGCCCCGGCCCACCCGCCGGAAGUGACGUAAUGCCACGGCCUAGCAACCGUUGCCAAGGAGCUCGUCUCUAGGAACCCUGUAGAGCCUGGAUGCCUCCUGCGGGGGGAAAAGUGGUUUCUUGAGGAGAAUUUGAGUUAUGACCUAAUUAUGAGUGAUCAAAUCAAAUUCAUUGUGGACAAUCUCAAUAAGGAGCCUUUUAGGAAGAACUAUAAUUUAAUCACAUUUGAUUCCCUGGAGCCAAUGCAACUAUUGCAAGUUCUCAAUGAUGUUCUGGCUGAGAUUGACCCAAAGCAAGUUGUUGAUAUCAGAGAGGAGAUGCCAGAGCAAACAACCAAAAGGAUGUUGAGCCUUCUUGGUAUCCUUAAAUAUAAACCUCCAGGAAAUGCCACAGACAUGAGUACCUUUCGUCAGGGUCUGGUGAUUGGAAGUAAACCUGUAAUUUACCCAGUGCUCCACUGGCUUCUUCAGAGAACUAAUGAACUGAAGAAAAGAGCAUAUUUAGCUCGUUUUUUAAUAAAACUUGAGGUACCAAGUGAGUUUCUUCAGGAUGAAACUGUGGCUGAUACCAAUAAACAGUAUGAAGAGCUAAUGGAAGCCUUUAAAACUUUGCAUAAAGAAUGUGAGCAACUCAAGACAUCUGGAUUUUCUACAGCAGAAAUAAGAAGGGAUAUCAGUGCAAUGGAGGAAGAAAAGGAUCAGCUCAUUAAGAGAGUUGAACGUUUGAAGAAAAGGGUGGAGACAGUUCAGAAUCAUCAACGGAUGCUUAAAAUAGCAAGGCAACUUCGAGUUGAAAAAGAGAGAGAAGAAUUUCUUGCACAACAGAAGCAGGAACAAAAGAAUCAGCUAUUUCAUGCAGUGCAGAGACUGCAAAGAGUACAAAAUCAGCUGAAAAGUAUGCGCCAUGCAGCAGCAGAUGCAAAGCCUGAAAGUUUAAUGAAGAGGCUAGAGGAGGAGUUAAAAUUUAAUUCUUAUAUGGUAACUGAAAAAUUUCCUAAAGAAUUAGAGAGCAAGAAAAAAGAACUGCAUUUUUUACAACAAGUGGUUUCAGAGCCUGCCAUGGGCCAUUCUGAUCUUCUUGAGCUUGAAUCUAAAAUAAAUGAAAUAAACACACAGAUCAAUCAGCUGAUUGAAAAGAAAAUGAUGAGAAAUGAGCCAGUUGAAGGCAAACUCUCACUAUAUAGGCAACAGGCAUCCAUCAUUUCUCGUAAAAAAGAAGCCAAAGCUGAGGAACUUCAGGAAGCAAAGGAGAAAUUAGCCAACCUAGAGAGAGAGGUGUCAGUGAAGACAAAUCAGACCCGUGAAUUUGAUGGCACCGAAGUUUUGAAGGGAGAUGAAUUCAAACGAUAUGUCAGUAAACUUCGAAGCAAGAGUACAGUUUUCAAAAAGAAGCAUCAAAUAAUAGCUGAAUUUAAAGCUGAAUUCGGUCUCUUGCAGAGGACAGAAGAACUUCUUAAGCAACGUCAUGAAAAUAUUCAACAUCAACUGAGCUCCCCGUGGGAUCAGACUGAAACCGGACUCCAAAUGAAUCCACUUUUCAUCACUACUUAAUUCUGGUUCCUUCCCUUCCUUUCUCCUAAGAGCACUCUCUGACUUAAUCACGUGAAGAAGAAGAAUUCUUGUUUCAGGUUCUGCUUCUAGAGAACCUGACAAAACUAUAAAAAUGGGCUUCUAGAGUGGGAUCACUCACUGAAUGAAUGGAACUGAAGGGUCCAUCACUGGUGGCAGGGUGAAUAUCGUUAGCAUGUUAUAGCAGUGCAAUUGCUAAGACUUGUGGUGAACUGAGGCAGAGUAUAAGUGGAAGGUGAUUGUAGUGGUCAUGAGAAUGGACUGCUCAGAUCUCCUUCGGGAGAGCCUGCUGAAACGGACUUCACUGACAGCCAGAACUGCUGCCCCGCUGGAUCCACUGUCAUGUUCCUACCCAGCCCGCGCUUCCCCCAGGCUGCUCCUUGCGUGACUGAGCAUGGCAACAGUACUAGUGCUGGCCUGCUCCCGCCUGACAGCGAACUCCUCUGGGGGGUGACUGGCUCAGGAACCCCCCCUCAUCCGGACCAAAACUUUCCUAAAACUGGGCUGCAGUUUUAGCUGAGGCUCUUCCUACACAAUCCUCCUUCCUUUUCUCGCCCUUCAUGGUGCCAGACCUGCAUGAGGACCUAAUGGUUUUCUCUGCCUCCUCUUGCUCCCUUCCCUUUAUCUGUCACUAUAUUUCCUCCAGCAAUCUCUUGUACAUCGAAUCCCAUCUUGGUGUCUGCUUCUUGAACUGUCACAGGGAUGCAAUAGCUGGUACAAUGUUGCUGGUAUUUGGGAAGUAUGCAGAAAUAAUAACUAAAGGGACAAUGGAAUUGGGGUGGCUGUUGCUAUGCUCCGUUUAUAGUUGAAGAGAUAAAAGGACAGGCUCAAAUAUAUUAAUCAUUAAUUUAAAGCAAAGUGAUAAAGUCAGAGAACCUUCUUAGGAGCUUCAAAGAAACCCUCAUUUCCUAUGGCUGAAGGGCAAAGGAAGCUGAAAACCAGGCACACAACUUAAUUGUUAGCAGGAUAAAACUUCAGAGAAGGCUGUAUAUAUUCUAUGACAAAGUCAGGGCUCUAAGAAAGGGUACUACUGAGUCCGGGAUGGAAUACCUGCAUAGACUCACUUGAGAACCUUGAACCCCCCCUAGAUUAUCUUAUAUCCUCUGGUCAGUGGCAGAUGGCUUAGCUUGUUGGUCAGGAGCCUGGGAGAAUUAGGCACCAGGACUGGAAGACUAGGGACAUGGACGUCUGGGGAAGAGGCAUGCAGAUAGACCUACGGGAGUAACAUACUAAGUGUGAAGAUCUUUUCUCUUUUCAUCAUAUGCUAAUGGCCACUAGGAAUGUCCAAAGCAGAAGAGAGCACUAAACAACCAAGUGGAAAGGAUGAUUUGGACAGGAGAUGUCAGGCACCCUCUGUCAUUGGCCACCCAGUGCUUGGAUAAUGGGCUUAUGAACAGAAUGGUUAUGCUGGCAAAGAUGGAGGCUAAGCAAGGGCCAAAUAGCAUGCGCUCUCUCUUGCCCAUGGCCAUCUAGCUAUUCCCACUGCCAAAUGUCUGACCUGGCAACAAUAGGGAGACCAACCCUGAGCUCUAGAUAUGGAAUCAUACCUUGAGGAAACCAAUCAUCUUUCUGCCUUGAAAAGGGCAACAUUUCAUCCUGACCUGGACUGACCCAGAUUCUGGCAAACUAUUGAAGAGAAAAAGGGUAUAUCUGGAUAUAGUUACACCCAGGAAGAGCUAGAAAGGGUAUCUGCACUGAAGACUGAG